CAAUCGGUUUUUUUCAGAACCACAAAAUAUUAAGAUAAGGAACCAC
rfam:Cerapachys biroi unplaced genomic scaffold scaffold552, whole genome shotgun sequence.